AUUGAACGCUGGCGGCAGGCUUAACACAUGCAAGUCGAACGAGUGGCGGACGGGUGAGUAAUGCUUGGGAAUCGGGCUUAUGGAGGGGGAUAACGACGGGAAACUGUCGCUAAUACCGCGUACCAUAGGAUGAGCCCAAGUGUGAUUAGGUAGUUGGUGGGGUAAUGGCCUACCAAGCCGACGAUCUCUAGCUGGUCUGAGAGGAUGACCAUCGACACCGGGACGUGGACACGGCCCGGAGGCCUACUGGAGGCAGCGUUGGGGAAUAUUGGGUAAUGGGCGCAACCUGGCGCAGCCGUGCCGCGUGCGUGAAGAAGGCCUUCGGUUUGUAAAGUUCUUUCGGUGACGAGGCGUUAGUCACAGAAGAAGCACCGGCUAACUCCGUGCCAGCAGCCGCGGUAAUUC
rnacentral:rRNA from 1 species